CCUACGGGGGACAGCAGUGGGGAAUAUUGCACAAUGGGGGAAACCCUGAUGCAGCGACGCCGCGUGAGUGAAGAAGUACUUCGUUAUGUAAAGCUCUAUCAGCAGGGAAGAAAAUUACGGUACCUGAGUAAGAAGACCCGGCUAACUACGUGCCAGCCGCCGCGGUAAUACGUCGGGGGCAGGCGUUAUCCGGAUUUACUGGGUGUACGGGGAGCGUAGAGGGCGGUGCAAGUCUGUCGUGAAAGGCGGGGGCUCAACCCCCGGACUGCUAUGGAAACUGGCCGGCUGGAGUGCAGGAGAGGUAGGUGCACUUCCUAGUGUAGCGGUGAAAUGCGUAGAUAUUAGGAGGAACACCAGUGGCGCGGGCGGCUUACUGGACUGUACCUGACGUUGAUGCUCGAAAGCGUGGGGAGCAAACAGGAUUAGAUACCCCUGUAGUC
rnacentral:rRNA from 1 species